UUGCAAGCUGCAACAAACUGAAUGAAAAAAGUCAAAAGGAUAUGGAGCAAAUCAUAAAUGAAAUUUGAAAAUGUGUAAUGUUCUUAGAUUUCCCCAUUUGGCAACAUGGACACAAUUCCCACGUCCAUAGAAUCCCAGAUGUAAAAUUUCAGAAAGCUAACUUAUUGACAGUAGUAUUUCCUACAAAAUUAAUCUCUUUGACCUCAAAUCGGCAGUAACAUGGAUGAUUGAGAAUAAACCUGAGAACCUAUUAAGGCAAUUCAGGUCUAUUAAUUAGCAUUAACAUGGAUGAUUGAGAAUAAACCUGAGAACCUAUUAAGGCAAUUCAGGUCUAUUAAUUAGCAU
rnacentral:misc_RNA from 1 species